UCCACAUGUGCUUUCACACAUAACAUCACAUAUUCACCCAGCUAAAGUUCCAAAAGUGCCUUGGUUUGUGUGUGUAUGUGUGUGUUCAUCCAUGUGUAAAUAACAGUAGCCAAGGGCAUGGAUUUAGUCAGCAUACAAGGUCACAGCAGCAAAGCCAAAAGAAAGAGAGAGAGAGAGAGAGAGAGAGAGAGGGGUUUGCUCAUCUCAUCAGAGUUUAUAAUUGUAAUUGUAUGUUCAACAGACUGUUCCAGACAAACACUAUAAAGCUCAUCAUAAGCACAAGGAUAAUAUUUUACUUAUUCAAACAGUGGCCUAUAUUAUAUUGUGAACAUUCAUUUUUAUUUCCCCCCACCACCCACAGAGGCCAUUAAAUCCUGAGCAGAGAGUGUGUGUGGGACAUUAUAGAGAGAGAUCACCAAUGCAUUAGCUAGUUAGACCUGCAGGCUCUCUCUCUCACACACACAUACACACACACACACACACACACACACACACAUUUGUCUAUGUUUCAGGGGGUGGAGAAGGUCCAUUGGUGCAGGUUGGGAAAUGAAGUACUAUGCCUGAAGAGAAAUAAAGCAAACUUAGAGACACCUGAAGUGCAGUUUUCCCCCAGGGAUUAAAUAAAGUACCAUUCUAUCCUAUAUGCCUUCGUUGGAUAGAAAAGAGCAGGAGUUUGGAGGCCGGCAUGAGGAGAAGAAUGAGUGUUUUCUGGAUUCAUAACCUUGACCUGUUUUUCUCGUCUCACCAGCACCAGCUGCUAACUCACAAACAUACAUGUCCCGUGGGUGAGAGCGAGGCUAGUCUUUUCUUUUUCUGCUGAAGAGAAAUCUCUGAAUCUCGUAGAGAUCCACGUCGCUCGCGGACAUGCGGGUGCUGCACCUGGGUCACAAUACUUCACGCAUGACGAGUCACGCGACGGAACCCGCAGGCCACGCGCUCCUCCGCAUUAAAUACACCAGCGCGAGCUGAUGCGCGCGGGGGUCUGACCUGCGGCCGGGAUAUGAGUUCACUUUACUGCCGUGACCGCGGACACACGCCUUCAAGGGAUUGUUUUCGAUCAAUUUUAGCAUUCUUUGCUUGCCUUAAACGAGAUGGGAAGAUGCAGAAUCAGAAUUCUCAUUUCCGUUUACGAUUCUUGUUGAUUUCCGUUCUGCUGAUUGCAUUACAAGUAAGCGUGAUAAUGAAAAUAUUACGAGAUGUUUAUAAUAAUAAUAAUAAUAAUAAUAGCAUAUUCACAAUAAUUUUAGGCUAAGACUUUCAAUGACCGAUUUUUACGUUUUAAUAGGCUAUUUUUAUAAAUGGCCCCUUCCAUCUUUAGCUGAACCGUAAACAACGCUUUAUGACUAAAGUAGCCUAGUUAUAUUGUGAUCUAAUAUUGUUAAUACAACUAUGACAUCACAUCAUUGAUAUUUAAUAGACUGCAGUUUAUUUAUUUUUCAUAUUAGCUUUUCAUUGUUUCAGUUACUUCUGUUGCAGUCAUGCUAACUAUAGCAAAAGAAAUAUCCAAGGAACAAGAUCGUGAGAGGCUAGGCUAUCUUUAAAGAAAACAUUUAGCCUACAUAGCAUUUAUAUAUUGGAGGUUUAUGAUGAAAUAAUUCAGUAGGCUAAUUACUAAUUGAAGAAAAAAAAAAACAAAAAAAAAAAACUAAUGGUUGUUUUUCCUGAAAUAAAAUGAAAUAUCGUUUGCAAAUCCAAUGUUAGCCUUUAAGAUGUCACCUGUAUGCUAGACUACUAUUGCCUGACUGAAAAUUAACUUUCAUGCGAAUAAAAUAAUUACUAAUGAUAGGA